UACGUAGGGCGCGAGCGUUGUCCGGAUUUAUUGGGCGUAAAGAGCUCGUAGGCGGUUUGUCGCGUCGUCCGUGAAAACUUGGGGCUCAACCCCAAGCUUGCGGUCGAUACGGGCAGGCUAGAGUUCGGUAGGGGAGACUGGAAUUCCUGGUGUAGCGGUGAAAUGCGCAGAUAUCAGGAGGAACACCGGUGGCGAAGACGGGUCUCUGGGCCGAUACUGACGCUGAGGAGCGAAAGCGUGGGGAGCGAACAGG
rnacentral:rRNA from 1 species